rnacentral:rRNA from 1 species
UACGUAGGGUGCGAGCGUUGUCCGGAAUUAUUGGGCGUAAAGAGCUUGUAGGCAGUCUGUCGCGUCUGCUGUGAAAAUCCGGGGCUCAACCCCGGACUUGCAGUGGGUACGGGCAGACUAGAGUGUGGUAGGGGAGACUGGAAUUCCUGGUGUAGCGGUGAAAUGCGCAGAUAUCAGGAGGAACACCGAUGGCGAAGGCAGGUCUCUGGGCCACUACUGACGCUGAGAAGCGAAAGCAUGGGGGGCGAACAGG